rnacentral:lncRNA from 1 species
CCCCGAAGGAAAUAAAAGAAACAUCUAGACAUCAUUUCAUCUUCUUCCAAGCUCUCGCCGCCAUAGCCAAAGAAUUAGGAAAAAAAGAUCGGAGAGUUAUCUAGAUCUAUUGAGAGAGUUGUCUAGAUCUAUUGAGAUGCCGAAAAUAGAUUUGAGUUCCUAUCGACUACACAUCAACCUUAUAUAAUCAAAUUAUGGGAUUAACAUUGUCAGCAACCUCAAAGCUUUCACACAGAUGUUAUGGCUUAAUUGUACCCGUCUCGAAAUAUCUUCACUAUUGAAUCAUAAGGUCCAUGCAUGCCUCAGCAAAAUAGGUAACUCUUAAUCAUUUUCCAUCAGAAAUAUGCUCAAAUACACACUGUUGCGUUUUCUUUUUGACCACCUCUUCCACUGUUUUUCUAUUUUAGAUUGAGUCUCAAUGAGACUAAUACCACACAUCGAGGAAGGAAAAGUAGUUGAGAGGACCAAAAGACCACAUCCCUACUGAAAUUUCUUUUAAAAAUAAGAAAUUUUAACCCUUUGUGAUUUAGUUCGCUGCUCUUUCUCUAGCUGGUUUAAGUAUGAUAUGUUAGAUUAAUGGAGAAAUACACCACAUAUUUACAUAAACCAAGAACACCUAUAAAAUAACAAAAUAUGCAUGAGAAAAGAUGCGUAUCUUUGUCCGUCAUUAUAACAUAUAAUUGAAGAUGAUUUGUCUGUCCGUCACUACAUCGUGUAACUAAAAACGAAUAAGGCUAAGUCUUCCUCUUUUUUACUUAUGACGGUUGGCAGCUUAUGAAAUACGUCUUAUAUUGAAGUCAGAAGAGGACAUUUAGCCUUAUAUUUAUAGGCUUAAAAGUCUUAAACUAGUGCAUCCCAUUAUGACCAGCCCACACUAAUAACAUGAAAUUGAUACAGGCUCAUAUGGAAUCUUCAUGAAUACACGGUGUGUGUCUUGUCUAUCAAUUUAUAACAUCAGUUCAUUUUAUUUCUAACGUAAUAAAAAGUUAAUGUUAAAUCAACAUAAAAUAAAUAAUUCUAACAUUCUCCCACUUGGAGAACGUUAACUUUUAAAGAAAAAUUUUGAAAAAUUUAUUUUUAUGAAAAUGACUCUCGAGCUGAAUAAACAGUAACCAUAAACACUUAGUGGUGGAACGCCAUCUCCAACAUAGUUCAGUCAAGCAAAACAUCACUGUUGAACUGUAGCAGUACCUGCAUCAACCAACGACACAAGACCAGUCCACAAUUACAAACGUUGAAGUUUUGUAGACAUAAAUCAAAUGAUGUGAUAGUGUAGUAAGAAAUAGCCAACAUGGACUCCAAAUCGAUGCUAUUUCAUUGUUAGUCCUUCAAACGAUUUUUCAUAUCAAUAUGUAUGCUUAAAAUCAACAUGUGUAUCAUAGAAAAAUUGUCACUGCAAUUUUUUGUUACAACAUGUGUGAGCACUAAAAUAUGUGCUCCACCAGAAAAUCUUGAUUUUUAACGUUCAACAUGUGUAACAUAUUACAUGGUGUAACAAUCAAAAAAAUUCACAAGGUAGAAUGAUAUACCAUAUAUAUCUCUAAAAGAAAGAUCCAAUAAAAUAAUAAUAUGAUCUUAUUAAUAUGAGACAUAACCAACACGUAAGGCAAAAAAUCUUAAUAUAAUAAAAUAAUAUUAAAAUGUGAAUGAUGAACUUACUCUCAUUGAUCUUGAGAUAGAUGCAAUGAUCAAUCUUGUUCUCCACAAAUUUUAUAGUUGUGAUAAUUUCUGCAAAUUUCAAGUACCAUUGUCAAGAAGCUUGCUUCAAGUCUUAGAUUUCUUCAACUUACACACAAGAUGUUCACUGCCUUUACUAACAGAACCUUGAAAUUGUUGCAUGUAAACCUCUUCAUUAAUAUUGCCAUUAAAAAAAAAGAUGUCUUUAUAUUCAUAUGAUGUAGCUCAAGAUCAAAGGAUCUCAUUCGUUGCCCAGUCUCAGCUUAUCUACCAUAGUACUCACCCUCGUGAUUCGACGUCACUAUCUUAAUGACCUUUUCUAGCUGUUUUUCUACUUCAGUUUUAAAUACUUUGAACAUUCAAGAGAAUUUGUGGGAAUGAUUUCUAACAAAUCAAAACUACGAGUAGCGUUCUUUUUUUUCAAUCAACUUUUUUCUAAUGGAAUCAAUACAUGUUUCUAUGUCACCAAAAUCAAGAGAAGGUAAAAUAUUAUACUUAACCAAUCUAUCAAUUCUAUCUUUAGAGAUAUGACCUAAAUGCUCAUGCCAUAACAUGCUCGAUUUCAUUUAAAAUUGGUUGUUUAGACUCAACAAUUUUAGAAGUAAAAGAGUUGUAUUCAAAAUCAGAAGUCAAGGAAAUUUUAAAUAAACCAUCAGAUAGGAUUUCAUGACCAACAAAUCGAAAGUUCAAAAGAAAAUUAACUUUAAGAGAAUUAAAAUCAUAAUCAAAUUUGUCUAAAACUGAAAUAUAAAUUAAAUUUUGUCUAAAAGAUGGUACAUAAAGAUUGUUUUUAAGAACAAGCUUAUAACCAGUUUGUAAGUUUAAAACUACAAUUUCUAUGAACUCUACUUCAACUUAGACAUCCGCGGCGAGUCUAAUUCUUGACUCUGUUUCCUUUGGGUUCCUUUUAUUUUUGGACCUCUGGAAGGAAAUGUCAAUAUGAGUAGUAGCUUCACUAUCAAACCAUAAAAAAUUAAUGGGGGCAUCUACAUUAGAUCUUUCAAACUUUCUAGGUUCAUAGCAAGAGAUUGCUUUUGAAUCAUGAGAAGCUAACAUAGCAACCUCAUCCUUCUCCCUUUUAAAUUUUUCCCCUUUCAAAAAACACAUUUGAAGAUGAGAUCCUUGAUUGAUCAAGAUUCAUCCCGAGUAUUAUAAGCAGUUUUCAUUUGGCUAAACUCAGCAGGCAAAGAGUUAAGAGCAUAGUGAACAAUGUAACUAUCAGGAAGAAUUAUUUUAAAGGUUUUUAGUUUGGACUGAAUAUGGACCAUCUUAUGUAUGUAAUCUCUAACACCCCUAGUAAAGUCAUACUUCAUCCUUGCAAGUUUAUUCAUUAGAUCUCCACUCUUAGCCUUAUUGGAUACAAGAUACCUUUCUUCCACUUGGGCAAGAAACUUUUUUGCAUUGAUAGCCACUUUUGAGGUGCUCAACAAUCAACCUCCUAAAGGCAAGGAUGCAUGGCCUAUUAGAUCUCUCCCACUUAGCAUUAAAUUCUUUUUCAGCAGUUGUACUAGAAUCAACGAGAGCUGGAGGCUCAUCCUCAUGCAAGGCUUGAACUAUGUCAGCCAUGCCAAAGUAAAUUCAAGAUCUUAUUUCCAUCGCUUAAAGUUAGAGUCCGAUAGAACCACAACUUCAACAUUGUUAUUAUUUAAAUAAAUGGUAACUUUUCACAAUAUAACAUGAAUGAAUUUAUCAAAAUAGCAAGGCAUAAGAAUAAUAAUCUUAUCACAACGAUAAGUCCCGCAGCAUUAACAAGUAGCCCCGCUUUGGGCAAAGAAAGAAAAUAUUUUCAAUAUUAGAAACCUAUCUCCUUUGGGCAGAUAAAUUUACUAAGUAAAAAUAUUUUCACAUAAUUGGGUUCAUCACAAUACUAAUUUAAAACACACAAUAAAUCUCCCUUGGGCAGAUCAUUGUAUGUUCUAACUUAGUGAUAUCUCUCAAAAUAGAUUAAACAAUUCUCAUAAAGUAAAGUAAAUAGGUCACUUUGGUGUACUUUAUUUACCCUAAUUUAUAAAACAAAUUCAAUCUCAGGGAUUCAAUAUGCCAUUGCUUAAUUUGUUCUGUGACACAAUAAGUAACCACACUAUUAAAAUAUUAUAAAUUUGAUUUAGUUGCAAUUCAAAUGAAAUCAAAUUCAAAUACAAUAAAUAAAUAAUAAUUCGACAUUUUUAUAAACAAUAGCUUAAAAUUUUUAAAUUUCAUAAAAUAAUUAACUUUUUAUAUUAUUUAAUCUAAGCAUAUGAAACUAAAUAAAUGAAUGAAUUUUUAAUAACAUAGUCGCCAGAACACAUCUUAAGAAAUCUUUAGUUCAGCCAACUUUACUCCAGCCAAUAUCAAAAAAUAAAUAAAAUUAACAUUCUGUAAACAAGAAAUACAACGGAAAAAACACUUGGAUACAACACAUCUUUCAUAAAAUCUUUUUCAAGUUCAUUUUUUGGACACAAGUCUAAGAUUAUCUUAUCACCUUUCACCACAAGGCUUACAAUUUUUCAUUUGAAAUCUUUUCAAAAUACGAUCAAUAUAGGCCUUUUGUGAAAGCCCCAAUAACUUACGAGAUUUAUAUGAUGCCUUUUCUAGAUCUUUCAUAUCAAACACUUUGUUCAAUGAAUGCUUAGUUUUAUGCAACAGUUCCAAAUUUAAGUCAUUUAUUUCAUACUCAGACUUGCAAGACCACCUCAUAUCCAUAGCCUUUUUAAUUCAAAAGCAUGUUAAUGACCACCCAAAAUAUUUAAACAUUAGUUCUUGUUUCAAAAUAAGAAAACUUAUGCAAACUACCCCCUUCCCUUUUCAAUACUUUAUCAUAUGGUGGUCAUUUUUCAUUAAUCAUAUGCAAAUUCUUUAUUAGAAAACAUGAGCAUUUGUAAAUCAAGAAAAAACCCCUCUUAUUCUUUCAUAAAAUAAUAAGAAUCCAUAACAUUGUUAAGACAAUGAGUUUCAUAACAAGAGAGAUAAUCACGCAAAUCAUGCUCUUAUGUAACUUUUCAAACUAAUAAUACAUGUACACAUGAAAACAAUUCAAGUUUAGGAAAAACAACCUCAUAGUUUAUAUAAGAUUGCAUUAUAAAACGGGGCUUACAAUACAUGCUCUUCAACAAUUUCAAAACCCAUCUCAUUUACAAAAUUAAAUACCGUAAAUGCUUGUUUAAUCGAUAAAUUUAUGCCCACGAAAUUUAGGAUAGUCCCACAUACAAAAAAUUUUGCAUUUUAAGAUUUAACUAUUCUAGUUCCCCUUGUAGUACAAUAGAACAUGUAUCCUUUAGAAUGAGCUGGAUAACCAAUGAAAAAAAUGUGAGGUUCUAGAUUCAGUUUUUUUUCUAAAAGGUUAUACAUUUUUCCUCCGCAGGAUAUUCCUAAACUCAAAAAUGAUUUAAACUGAGUUUUCUAUUCAUCCACAACUCAAAAGGGGUUUUAGGGACUGACUUGGAAAGAACACAAUUAAGAAUGUACAUAAAUGUUUUGAUAACUUCACCAUAAGUUAGAUCUAUUCAUCAUACUUCUCAUCAUGUCUCUUAAAGUACGGUUUCACCUUUCAAGAUAGUGAAAAUUUUUGAAACAAUUUUAAUUUGUAAAUACUACCAAUAUACUUUAAAACAUAUUUAUUUACUUUUGACAAGGUAUAAAGCAGCGGAAAACUUUGUCAAUGAAGACAAUCAAUCUUUUGUAAUUACAGCUCCUGACAAUUUUCUUUUAAACUAACAACACUCCGUUGAUUAAUUUUCACAUCGAACGGCAACAACUGAUCCAUUACCCAUAACAAUAACUCCUAGGACCUGAAAACACACCACAAUUUUUAAAAAUCAGAUUCAAUUGAUUUGGUCCAUCUACUUUUCCAAAUUCAAUUAAUUUGGCCAUCGGCUGAAUCUUAAUCAUAUGUACACCUUUUUUAAUAUGGAGUAAAGUAGUGUGUAGCAAUCGGAACAAAGUUAGCAGCCAAAAGAAAAAGGAAAAUCGUUUCAGAUUUAAGUUUAAGAUGAAGUGCAUCACGAUCAUUAUUUUCAAUUAUUUUUCUCAUGAACUGAGUAAUAGAGUUCAAGAUCUAUGUUAAAAGCUCUAAUACCAAAUGCUAAAUUAACGGAUAAACACACCACAGAUUCACAUAAACCAAGAACACCUAUAAAGUAACGGAAUAUGUGAGAGAAAAGGUACGUACCUUUGUCCUCCAUUAUAUCAUGUAAUCGAAGACGAUUUGUCCGUCAUUACAACACAUAACCUAAGACGAAUAAGACCGAGUCUUCCUUUGCUUUGCUUAUGACGGCUGACAGCUUAUGAGAAUACAUCUUAUGUUAAAGUCAGGAGAGGGGACCGACCUUUAUAUUUAUAGGCUUAAAAGCCUUAACCUAGUGCACCCCCAUUAUGGGUUCACAAGUCUACUACAGGCCUACACUAAUGUCAGCCCACACCAAUAACAUGAAAUGGAUACAGGCCCAUAUGAAAUCUGCAUGAAUACAUAGCCUGUGUUUUGUCCACCAACUAAUAACACCAGGCCGUUUUACUUUUAACGUAAUAAAAAGUUAAUGAUAAGUCCACAUAAAAUAAAUAAUUCUAACAUGAUAUGUAGGGAUUGUUUGAUAGAGUGUAUUGAAAAAUUAAUGCAUGCAUUAUUUUAAUGUGUAUUAUUAAUAGUUUGUUUGAUAUAAUUUUGCACCCUAUGUAUAACUAAUGCAUUAGUUAUACACUCCAUUGUGUAUUAAUGUGUGUAUUACUAAUACCUCAAAAUUCAUGGUAUUGGCAAUGCAGUGAAUUCAAUACAUGCAAUAACAUGAUUAAAGACACUAUUAUCUCUCAAAAAAAUUCACAUCCUUUCCAACAUAUAUGUGGAGGAUAUUUUUGUAAAUUUUUUUUUUAAGAAAUUAUUUAAUUCAUAUUGUUUUUAAUACAUCAAACCAAACACUGCAUUAAAAAAAUACAAGCAUAGCUAACACAAGUAUUACUAAUACAAGCAUUAUUAACACGCUAUAUUUUGCAUUCUUCUUAUACACUCUACCAAACUACCCCUUAGUAUAUAUUAUUGCUCUAGAAGAAUGAGCAUUUGUGCUUUCUUUGAUAAUGGUUGAAAAUCAGUAAAAUUAGUUGUACUCGCAAAAUUGAACACCCAAUUAGUUAAAAGUUUUUGCAACUUAUAGCAAUAUGAUAGUCUCACAACUAUAUAAAUUAUAUUUUGUCUUGUAAAUUCAACUUAUCUCUAAGCGAAUCUAUUGAACAUGAUUAACGCGAGUUCAAGCAGCUCAUCUUUUACCAAAUAUUUAUCCUAAUCCACUUUUCCAAAAAAAUACAACAUAAAUUUAUGCCCAAGUCUAUUUCUAGUAAUAGCUAAUCAGGACCAAGUCUCAUGGAUAAAUCACAGAGGAAAUUUUUGAAGAUUGAAGUAUACAAGAAAUAAAGAGAAUAUAAAUAAUAGUGAAUCUCUGUUGUCAUCUUUUAUCUACUUGUGUUCAUGCUUUUUACAAUCAGAAUUUAUUUACAAAAGGAUCUUAUAAAAUGAUAAAGAAAUAGACCUUGGGCCUAACUUAACCUUAAAAGUUAGCUCAUGAGAGGAGGAUUGCCCAAGACCAUAUAAGGAGAUCAAGGACCCUUUAACCCACCGAUGUGGGACUCCAACACCUCGCCGCACGCCCAUGGCUAGACAUCUGGAGCGUAAACAAUAUAAGACGGGGGGCCCAACAACGGAAACAAUGAAUUGGGUGGGCCUGACUUUGAUCCUACGAUAAAAAAAGAAAAAAAUAUAUAAAGUAGCAUACUUAAGUAUUAAAUUAUAAAAAAUAACCACAUUUUUAUCAAAUUACAUUUUGUAGCAUAUGUAUUUAUAUUUUUGUAGCAACAGUUUGCAAAAACACAAAAUACAUAUCGAUCAUAAGGGCAGUAAAAAUCAUAUGCAUUUGUGUUUUUGUAGCAACAAUUUGCAAAAAUACAAAAUACAACUUGCUAUAUUAUGUAAUUAUGAAAUUGUUGCUAUGAAACUCAUAAUUAAGAGGAUAAGUAUGCUAUUUCUGAAUUUUGCCCAUAAAAAAAUAGAUCUUAGGCCUAACUCAACCUCAAAAGCUAGCUCAUGAGGAGAGGAUUGCCCAAGACUAUAUAAGGAGACCAAGGACCCCUUUAGCGGACUUCAACACCCCCGCACGUCCAUGGCUGGACAUCUGCAGUGUGGACAAUAUAAGACGGGGGGCCCAACAUCGAAAAUAAUGAACUAGAUGGCCUGACUCUGACACUAUGAUAAAGAAGGCCUAACUCAACCUCAAAAGCUAGUUCAUGAGGGGAGGAUUGCCCAAAACCAUAUAAGGAGAUCAAGGACCCUUUAAUCCACCGAUGUGGGACUUCAACAUAAAAAGUCUAGACACAAGUUAACAAAAAGGUGACAACAUAGACCUUUGUAUUCCCCACCUCCCAUCUUUUAAUAUGAUAAUGAAGGCGUUAGACUUAUCUGAAAGUUCUGCCAAAAAUUCUCCAUAUGAUUUAUCGAUGAGACUUGAUCAUGUGACAUAGCUAAUAUAGAAAAUAGCCAUUUGUGAGCUUUAUUAGGUUUUAGAUGAGAAUCUGAAUUCGAGAAAAAAUGAGUCAAUUUUAAAACUAAAAUUAGCGUCGUUUUUCUUAAAAUGGAAAAAAUGCAGAGUGGAGUAAGAGUUAAGAGGAGCGGAGUAGGAGUUAAAGAAAAGCUUUUGUGGUUGGGGACAAGAAGCAUGUGAUACCCCUCAUAAUUUUAACACUAUUUUGACUUUUCAUGAAGAAACAAUCACAUUUUUCAUUUCUAUGUCAUUUCCUAAUUUCAUUUUGGUCCGUGUGUAUUUGACUGCACACAUCUAACCUUGAAUUAUCUAAAAUGAAUAAUUUUAGUCUAAUUACUAGCUGAUCUGAACAAUACAAAUAAACCAUAUGUUACUAUUACGGACAAUUUUGAAUUGCAUAGACUACUUCAUACAUUAUACACUAAAUUAUUUAUGUUUAGUCUAUCAUAAAUUCACGUGCUAGCAACCGAAAGGUGUCAACGAGAUUUACUAUAGUACGUGUAUUGCAUGUGUCUAUUACAUCAACUAAUAAAUAUAUAAUAAUUAUUGAAAAUAUUAAUUAAUAAUAAAAUAAAUGCAAUAUUUAUUCACACAAUCGUUACAAAAAUGUUAAUCAAGCUUUUACCCAUUUAUAAGUUUUCAUAUUAGACAAAAUUUUCAUUUAAAACAAACAACUUUUUUGAAAAUAGUAGUUGAUGCUAAACUAAUUGAUGAAAUAUAAUAUCUUUAAUUUUAACAUAAUAAGAAAUUUAAUAAAUUAAUUGUAUAGCAAUAAAUGACACAUAAAAGUUUUUUUUUUUCUACUAAUUGUAAAUAAGUCCUGGUUUCAAAAAGCUUGGACACGAGAGCAUAGAAAAGAUAAUAGUAAAGACUCCUUAAUAUUAUUUUUUUAUUUGUUUAUACUUCAACCUUCAUCCAAGUCAGUCUACCUCUGUCUUUCCAACUUCUCAUCUUUUAACAUGAUGACAAAGGCGCUAGACUUGUUUGAAAAUUCUAUGAUUUAUACAUGAAACUUGAUCAUGUGAAGCAAUAAAUAUAAGCAAGAGCCAUAUAUGAGGUUUAUUAGAUUUUAGAUGGGAAUUUGGAUCGAAGAAAGUGGGUCUGUUCUGAAGUUUGGAUUAACAUUGAUUUGCUUCAAAUAAAAAAAGAGCAGAGAGUGAAGUAGGAGAUCAGAGAAGCUAUUGUUGUGGCGGACAAGAAGCACGAUAUACGCCUCAUAUUAUGACACUAUUUUGACUUAGUAGGAAGGAAAAAUGACAUUUUUCAUCACGUUUCAAAUUAUCGAAUCGUGAAUACGUCUAUUAUAAUCUACCUAGUUUGGAGAGCCCCUUACCACUCCCAGAAGAUGUUAAGCAGAAGUUUUUAUUAAAAUAGUAACUCAUCUUUACUACAUAAGCUUAUACAAAACAAAUGCAGAAAGUAUAAACUACCCAGGAAUUUAGUCUAAACAGGUAUAAAAUUUUCUAAAGCAAAAGUAAAUUGAACACAACUUCCACCAAGAGUAAGAUAAGUAGGAGCUGCUGAGGAAUCUCUAUCUGAAACAAUCAUGAAACCAACAUUGAUUCAUGCAAAAGACUAUACCCCAAAAAGGGUGCAACAAGAGUAUUAUCAGUACAAAUCACACAUACUGAUAAGCCUCAUUAAUCGAUUCAAAUUGAAUUGUACAAACAUAAAAUAAAAUUUUUAAAAAAUCAUGCAUCUUAUUAUUCUCAUUACCUAACCCAGUAUCACUUGUUUUCCAAUUAUGGACACCUGAUAACCACUUAGCCUUACCUUUAUGAUUCCCUAAAAUGAUCUAGUUAUCUUCUGCUAACUCUUUGGUUAUGGACUUUGAGGUACCGUUCUUACCCUUACGACUCCACCGCCCUGAGCCACUACCUCUGGCCUUACACCAUGGACUACCAUGAAUCAUAAAGAACCAACCACAUCAAAGAUGAACCUAACUUGUAUCAAUUCCUUAAAUAAGUCUACCUAGCAUUCAUGGGAAUGUCCCACCAAGACAAGUAAAUCGUCAAUAAGACCCCAAGACACUAACCGAGACUUAACAAUAACUUACAAUCGUCUUCAUAUUAUCCUACUUAUGGAGAAAAUCCUAAACACAAAUGCCAUUUCACUACAGGAGAUAAUAUAAUAAGUUAAAUAACCAACAAGAAUUAAUAGUCAAGUCAAACCAAGUUAAAUUAAGUUAAACACCAAAUUUAAUGAUACAUAUAUAUGCAUUGCUCGGUCCACUGAUGAAAUCGUCAAACUUACUUGUACCUUAUACAUACAUGCUAAGGAUAUUAUAAUCACUAUCUAGUCAUGACCCGUAGGGGAUAAAUUCCAUCCAUGAACCUAAUCCAGACACAAGUAUCUGCUAACCUUAUUCCAUCAAUAUCCCAUGAGAAUGUUCAAUUAUUGAGACAUUCCACAACAAUCCAUAAUGAGAUAUACAAAAUCAUACAGAGCAAAGAUAUCACCAACACUUCCACUAUCCACGUGCUUUAUGUAAGGUUCAUUUAUAAGACAUCUACACUUAAAUAACACAUACUAAAAAAGCAAUGGUGUGAGAUAGUUAACAUACCCACAUAACAAAAUCGAAUUAAACUAUGUAAUCCUCACUCCACUGCCAUCCAAUCCCUAAACAUUCCACUUAAAUUAUUUUCCUUUUCUAAAACAACAAAUCGGGUUACCACCCUUGAUGCUAUCAAAAUUUACCAACACUCCCUGAUCUUGGAUGUAUUUAUAUAUCCAAACACCGCGAUUUAUUCAUAUUUGAACUUAUUUUGUGAAUAAAAAGUGUGCUACUUAUAUUAAAUUAUAAAUUAAAUUGUGUUUCAUGGCUAACUGAUGUGAUUAGACAUAUAGGGUUAAUUUCUCAUAGAUUUGGAAGAAAAUUAGGUACACAUCAUGAAGAGGCGGAUGACCAUGUGGAUCAAAGUAAAAAACAUAUGGAAAUGCAACAGAGUAAAGAGAAAAGAAAGAAGUUGAGGAUUGACGAAAAGAAAAAAAGAAAAAAAGAAACUGGUGAAAAAUUUCAGUGACGCAAUGCGAUCUCAACGCGUUGCGUCGACUGGCAAGAUGUGUGCCUUAGCAAAAAUAUGAAGAAUAAUUUUUAGUGCAUCGACGCGAUGGCGAUGCGUCGCAUUGAUGCAUAAGUUCUGUGCCUUAGAGAAUUCUACGUGUGUAAUUUCUAGUGCAUCAAUGCGAUUCUGAUGCAUUGGUCGAUGCUUAAAACUUUGACACUUAGCCAAAUUUUGAGGAGCAAAUUUCAGUGACAUGAUGUGAUGUCAACAUGUCACGUCAGGUAGUGAAGGAUAUGACUUAGUUUGAUUUCAAAGUUGAAUUCCAGUGUGGCAAUGCGAUGUUGAUGCGACGUGUUGGUUGGAUCAAUGCGAUUAGCGACGCUUCGUGUCAUGGUUUCAGUUCUGGUGAAAUUUUCCUAAGUAUAAAAGGAACAUGUGAGCACAAUUCCAAAUACUUUUUGGCAAGCAUAUCAGCGACGGAAAAGCAUAGAAUUCUUAUUUUAGGGUUCUUCUUAUUUCUUUUGAAUUCUUUACUUCAAGACUAAUUUUGGGUAUGAUUAAUUACUUGUUUUUGAUGUUUAAUUCAAACAUGAAUGGCUAAAUACCCUUGUUCUGGGGUUAAGGUCAAGAACAUGAUUAUUCUUUGAUAUUCUUUAUAGUAGUUUCUUUUUGGAUUA